AGAUGUGAGGGCGAUCUGGCUUAGACAUCUAUCACCCAAUUGAUCUCCAGGGUUGAUUUUGCUGAUCUGGCUGGCUAGGCAGGUGUCCCCUUCCUCCCUCCUGCUCCAUGUGAGUCCCUCCUCAAGCUGUGAGCUUAGUGGAAGAGGACAGCCUUCCCCAAAUAGAAAUUAGGACUCUGGG
rnacentral:snRNA from 1 species